rnacentral:pre_miRNA from 1 species
CGUGUUCACAGCGGACCUUGAUUUAAUUUCAAUACAAUUAAGGCACGCGGUGAAUGCCA